CAAGUGGGGGGGACAAAAGGGGGGGAAAUAAGGAGUUCCACAGGCGCAGAAGAAGAAGAAGGAGAGACGCGGACUGGAGAGGAAGGAGAGGACAUUUUUGCGCACGCAUGUGGCCGAUACACCUCCAAUCCAGGGGCAGUUUGUGACACAGACCCCUGGGUGUUGUGCCAAGGAUUAAAAAAAAAGGGAACUGAGCAGCGGGGUGUCCACAGGAGAGAAUAAUGAGAGGGGUGUUCGGGAGGUGGAGGAGAAACUGAAUAUUUGCCCCUUUUUUUUGCGCGCUGUUCCGCUUCUCUGGAAUUUUCUGGCUUCAAAAGGUAUGGAUGGAUUUAAGACAGAGGAGUGAGUCUGCUGGGCGGGCAGGCGGUGAUUCUGACUGAGCUCCUCUUCCUCCUGAACACACUGCUCAGACUCGGCCUUUACCAUGUCCUGGUUGUUGGCCAUGUGGAUUAGCCUCGGCUUCCUGCUGCUGUGCCAGGCCACGCUCUACCAGACCAUCCAGCAGCACCACGUGGCCCGGCCCGGUCGCACCGAAAUCCUCACCCUGGAGGGCGGUACGUGUGAAGUGAUCGCCGCCCACCGAUGCUGUAACAAGAACCGCAUCGAGGAGCGCUCCCAGACGGUCAAGUGCUCCUGUCUGCCGGGGAAAGUGGCCGGGACGACACGGAACAAGCCCUCCUGCGUGGACGCCUCCAUCGUUAUUGGGAAGUGGUGGUGUGAGAUGGAGCCGUGUCUGGACGGAGAAGAGUGCAAGACUCUGCCCGACAACUCUGGAUGGAUGUGCUCCUCUGGGAACAAGAUCAAGACCACAAGAAAUACCCAGCCAUACUCCCCUUUUUAGCUUCCGGAAGCAAAAUGCAGAGGAUGGGUCAACAGAAAUUGAGCUGCAUUCUUGCUUCUGUACAGAUUCAUCCCAGGACCUAACGGAGAGCUCCCCCCCCCGCCCCCCUCCCCCCGGCGUUGCAGGGCCGCGUGCUCCAGGCUCUCUCUCUCUCUGCACCUUCAUCCACUACCCUCCUUUUCUCAUCCCGGACUAAAACUAUCACAUCCGCGUCUCCCGACUGGAUUACCUGGGACCGCGGAAAACAAGGAUAUCCACCCCGGAUACAAAGAACCGCUUUGCUCGCGCGGUGCCAAGGAUUUGAAACCAGACUAAUCCCCUGUUUGAUCAAUGAGCCCCCACGUCGGUGACUCUCCUCUUCCACACAGCUGUGGCCAGUCUCCACCCCCCUCUCCCUUUCUCUCUCUCUCUCUCUUUUUCCCCCCUAUCUCAAAAAACUGAAACAGCUUCGCAGAGGUGACACAGAGGUCGUUAAAACAUUGUUUUGAAGACGUUCGACACCGCCUGAAGGACCUGAACAUAUGGCGGUCCACAGAACUGAGGGCAGACGUGGAAGCUGGAGGUGGACGGAGGGGUUACCUUGAUUUGCCCUUUUUAUUUCUGCGCCUGAAAGGCAUCGGUGUGUGACUCAUUGGCGCUGGCCGGACAACACCGGACCGCCGGCGAACGGAGACCACGGCGGCCGACAACGAGUCCAUCCUCGUGGCGUCGGGGGUCCUCGUGGCUCCGUCUUCAGACGUUGUGACUUUUAUUCGUGGGCAUGCCCGAUGUAAAUUCAUGAGCACUUCGUUUUUUUCUUUUGUGUGUAAGAUAAUUUGUGUAUGAAAAAAAAAAACAUAUGUAAAUACAUCACAUAUAAGAUGAUGGAUCCGAGAAGCUGAAACAAUAUAUUGAAUAAGACUCUCUUAGGAGCUUGAAGCCCCAAUGGAGGAGGAAUAUUAAUCAGCCACUGAGUAUAUCCAGAGGUUGUUGUUGUUUCCCCGACACGGUUGGUAUAGGACAUGCUUGCUUUUUGGUAAACAGCAGUCAUAAAAAAAUAAGUAUUGGUCACUUUUGUCACACGGUGUCCUUGGUUGAGCGAGAGAGAAUAAAAAAAGCUUGUAGUUUCUGUAAAGAUGAGGAAAACACUGUAUAGAACCGCCUCAGAAAAAGAAAGCGGCCCCGACAACGAGCCCUGAGCUUCCCACGCCGACACGAUGGGGACAUAAAAACAGCAGCGGGAGAAGAACUCCGAGCAUAAAUGGACAUUUAUUGUUUUAUUUCUGCUGUGGAAAAGAAAAAGUUGGUCACGGGGGCGAGCGCUCCAGAGAGAGAGAGAGAGAGAGAGAGAGAGAGAGAUGCUGUAUUUAAUAAAAAACGACAGUGAGAAAAGUAUAGCGUACACUAUUGAGAAACAUACAAUUACCCCUCCUCCUCCCCUCCCCCCCAGUAGAUUUAAGUACAUUACAAGACAGCCUUAUGAGAAAUAAAAAUGG